rnacentral:rRNA from 1 species
CGGCAGCACGGGGGUAACCCUGGUGGCGAGUGGCGAACGGGUGAGGAAUACAUCGGAACGUAUCUUUAAGUGGGGGAUAACGCAUCGAAAGGUGUGCUAAUACCGCAUAAUCUCUGAGGAGAAAAGCAGGGGAUCGCAAGACCUUGCGCUUUUGGAGCGGCCGAUGCCUGAUUAGCUUGUUGGUGAGGUAAAAGCUCACCAAGGCUUCGAUCAGUAGCUGGUCUGAGAGGACGACCAGCCACACUGGGACUGAGACACGGCCCAGACUCCUACGGGAGGCAGCAGUGGGGAAUUUUGGACAAUGGGGGAAACCCUGAUCCAGCCAUGCCGCGUGAGUGAAGAAGGCCUUCGGGUUGUAAAGCUCUUUCAGCCGGAACGAAACGGUUACGGUUAAUACCCGUGACUACUGACGGUACCGGAAGAAGAAGCACCGGCUAACUACGUGCCAGCAGCCGCGGUAAUACGUAGGGUGCGAGCGUUAAUCGGAAUUACUGGGCGUAAAGCGUGCGCAGGCGGUUUUGUAAGUCAGAUGUGAAAUCCCCGGGCUUAACCUG